CAGUCGCCGCGGUAAUACGAAGGGGGCUAGCGUUGUUCGGAUUAACUGGGCGUAAAGGGUGCGUAGGCGGGGUUUUAAGUCAGGGGUGAAAUGCCGAGGCUCAACUUCGGAACUGCCUUUGAUACUGGAACUCUUGAGUCCGGGAGAGGUGAGUGGAACUGCGAGUGUAGAGGUGAAAUUCGUAGAUAUUCGCAAGAACACCAGUGGCGAAGGCGGCUCACUGGCCCGGUACUGACGCUGAGGCACGAAAGCGUGGGGAGUAAACAGGAUUAGAUACCCCCGUAGUCCCUGUCUCUUAUAA
rnacentral:rRNA from 1 species